GGUGAUGUAGCUCAGAUGGUUAGAGCGCGCCACUCAUAAUGGCGAGGUUCGCUGGUUCGAUCCCAGCCAUCACCA
rnacentral:tRNA from 1 species